rnacentral:rRNA from 1 species
AAGUCGUAACAAGGUUUCCGUAGGUGAACCUGCGGAAGGAUCAUUACCGAGUUAGGGUGCCUUCUCGGCGCCCGACCUCCCAACCCUGUGUCUAACAAACCUGUACGUGUUGCUUCGGUGGACCGGUGGCUCCUCUUCACGGGGGACCGACCGCCGGGGGAAGCUAACCCCUCCCUGGAGAGCGUCCACCGACAGCCCAACCCAAACUCCAAAUUACAAACCAUGUUAUAAUUCUGAAUCAAAUCAUUUUUGAUAUCAAAUCGAAAAUCUAAACCAAAACUUUCAACAACGGAUCUCUUGGUUCUGGCAUCGAUGAAGAACGCAGCGAAAUGCGAUAAGUAAUGCGAAUUGCAGAAUUUCCGUGAGUCAUCGAAUCUUUGAACGCACAUUGCGCCCUUUGGCAUUCCGAAGGGCAUGCCUGUUCGAGCGUCAUUAUCCUCUCUCAACCCCUCGGGGUUGGUGUUGGACCGUGUUGCGGGCGUUCCACGCCGGUCAACUGGUCUCAAAGACAAUGACGGCGUCCGAGGGACCCUCUUCGCACUGAGCUUUUCGGAGCACGCGGGGAGUGUCAAGGUCCCCGGGCGACGGUCACCUCUAUUUUUUUCUCAGGUUGACCUCGGAUCAGGUAGGAAUACCCGCUGAACUUAA